rnacentral:rRNA from 1 species
UACAGAGGGUGCGAGCGUUGUUCGGAAUUAUUGGGCGUAAAGGGCGCGUAGGCGGUGCGGUAAGUCACCUGUGAAAUCUCCUGGCUCAACUGGGAGCUUGCAGGCGAAACUGCCGUGCUGGAGUGUGGGAGAGGUGCGUGGAAUUCCUGGUGUAGCGGUGAAAUGCGUAGAGAUGCGGAGGAACACCGAUGGCGAAGGCAGCCCCCUGGGCUGACACUGACGCUCAGGCACGAAAGCGUGGGGAGCAAACAGG